rnacentral:rRNA from 1 species
UACGGAAGGGGCAAGCGUUGUUCGGAUUCAUUGGGCGUAAAGGGUGUGUAGGUGGCGCGCUAAGUCGGGUGUGAAAUUUCGGAGCUUAACUCCGAAACUGCAUUCGAUACUGGCGUGCUUGAGGACUGGAGAGGAGACUGGAAUUCAUGGUGUAGCAGUGAAAUGCGUAGAGAUCAUGAGGAAGACCAGUGGCGAAGGCGGGUCUCUGGACAGUUCCUGACACUGAGACACGAAGGCCAGGGGAGCAAACGGG